rnacentral:rRNA from 1 species
GUGGGGAAUAUUGGGCAAUGGGGGGAACCCUGACCCAGCAACGCCGCGUGAGGGAAGAAGGUUUUCGGAUCGUAAACCUCUGUCCUUGGUGAAGAGUAAGAGACGGUAGCCAAGGAGGAAGCCCCGGCUAACUACGUGCCAGCAGCCGCGGUAAUACGUAGGGGGCGAGCGUUGUCCGGAAUGAUUGGGCGUAAAGGGCGCGUAGGCGGCCCGGUAAGUCUGGAGUGAAAGUCCUGCUUUUAAGGUGGGAAUUGCUUUGGAUACUGUCGGGCUUGAGUGCAGGAGAGGUAAGUGGAAUUCCCAGUGUAGCGGUGAAAUGCGUAGAGAUUGGGAGGAACACCAGUGGCGAAGGCGACUUACUGGACUGUAACUGACGCUGAGGCGCGAAAGUGUGGGGAGCAAACAGG